rnacentral:rRNA from 1 species
AACGAACGCUGGCGGCAUGCCUAACACAUGCAAGUCGAACGAAGCCUUCGGGCUUAGUGGCGCACGGGUGCGUAACGCGUGGGAAUCUGCCCUCAGGUACGGAAUAACUCAGGGAAACUUGAGCUAAUACCGUAUAAUGACUUCGGUCCAAAGAUUUAUCGCCUGAGGAUGAGCCCGCGUCGGAUUAGCUAGUUGGUGAGGUAAAAGCUCACCAAGGCGACGAUCCGUAGCUGGUCUGAGAGGAUGAUCAGCCACACUGGGACUGAGACACGGCCCAGACUCCUACGGGAGGCAGCAGUGGGGAAUAUUGGACAAUGGGCGAAAGCCUGAUCCAGCAAUGCCGCGUGAGUGAUGAAGGCCUUAGGGUUGUAAAGCUCUUUACCCGGGAUGAUAAUGACAGUACCGGGAGAAUAACGCCCCGG